rnacentral:rRNA from 1 species
GGCGAGUGAAGCGGUAACAGCUCAAAUUUGAAAUCUGGCCUCACGGUCCGAGUUGUAAUUUGUAGAGGAUGUUUCGAGCAUGGUCUGGCCUAAGUUCCUUGGAACAGGACGUCAUAGAGGGUGAGAAUCCCGUAUGCGGCCAGGUGCCUACGCUCAUGUGAAGCUCCUUCGACGAGUCGAGUUGUUUGGGAAUGCAGCUCAAAAUGGGUGGUAAAUUUCAUCUAAAGCUAAAUAUUGGCCAGAGACCGAUAGCGCACAAGUAGAGUGAUCGAAAGAUGAAAAGCACUUUGGAAAGAGAGUUAAACAGUACGUGAAAUUGUUGAAAGGGAAGCGCUUGCAACCAGACUUGCGCGCGGCUGAUCAUCCGGUGUUCUCACUGGUGCACUCGGUCGCGCUCAGGCCAGCAUCGGUUUUGGUGGUUGGAUAAAGGUCCUAGGAAUGUGGCUCCUCUCGGGGAGUGUUAUAGCCUAGGGCGCAAUGCAGCCUACCGGGACCGAGGACCGCGCUUCGGCUAGGA